rnacentral:lncRNA from 1 species
UUUCAUAUUGAUCAGUUGAUAGAAAGAUGAAGAAUUGUUUCAGCAAACUAGCUAAUGGAAGGUAUAGCUUGGACUUACAUAUCUGUCAAACUCUACAGAGAAAAUUAUGUUAAAAUAAAAAAUGAUAUAAAUAAAAUUCCAAUAGGAGUAUAUAAAUGUCUAGGUGAAAUGGGUAGCUACAGUUGAUGCAGUUUGCCAAUGACAUUAUUAAAUUCAGUAAACAAAAAUGGAUAGCUAUAGUUAAUAAAAAUUAAAGGGUCUUCAUCCUUAUAAAGAUUGUCUCCCAAUGGUUCUUAAAAAUUAAAAUUGUAUCUCUUGUUAACUUAAACAUCAUAUAUAUAAAGGUUCUAAGAAGGACAUCCUCUAUAAUGACUUAUUACACAAGAUUAUAGGAAAAUUAACUAAUUGGGUAAAUAAAUUCUAUCCUCAGGAGCAAAACUUGUUUUCGACAUGCCAAUAUACAUACUCAAGCCUCUUAAGAUUGUAAUUGAAAAUUUGAGAUCAUAUCUACAGACUGCAAAGUACUCAUGAGUGAUGCUGACGGGGUUACACACAUAUAUUGGAUGUGUAAUUUCCAUUAGCAGAAUUCACAAUAGUUGCAGAAGUUGGCGGAUUUUAAUAUCACAAAUUGUGAGAUACAUUGAAAGAAAAAUUUAAUAAACUUGUCAUGUAAAUUUCAUAUUCAUUCCUUACAUAAAAUCUACUACAUAUACACAUAACAAGAAGGCAAAUAUAUCAUAAAUGUCAAAGUUAUUGCUUAAUUAAUUCUACUGCAUAAACUGAUAAACAUAACAAGAAGGCAAAUUAAUGGAGAGGGAUAUACGAAAUAAAUCCAAGAAGAAGUAACCUUAUUUUGAGAAGAACAAGAAGAGGGCCAGGAGGGCUUGCUGCGUAGAGAUGG